UUUCUUGAUUCCUGGGAGGGAGGGUAUUGGGGUCAUCGAUGCCUUAUGGAUGCCUGAAUUUUCCGCUGUUUUUUCCCCGUAGUCAUGCUCCUUGGGGUGACCCUCUUGAAGAAGAAAUACCCGUUGGCCAAGUACCUGUGUGUGUUGUUAAUUGUGGCUGGAGUGGCCCUUUUCAUGUACAAACCCAAGAAAGUUGUUGGGAUAGAAGAACACACAGUCGGCUAUGGAGAGCUACUCUUGCUAUUAUCGCUGACUCUGGAUGGACUGACUGGUGUUUCCCAGGACCACAUGCGGGCUCAUUACCAAACAGGCUCCAACCACAUGAUGCUGAACAUCAACCUUUGGUCGACAUUGCUGCUGGGAAUGGGUGAGAGCCAGUUCUGCUGUUCUUCCCAUGUAUCACCAGAGGGCAGGCUGCCUUCAUCCUUUUGAUCCCUCUAGCUGUUAGUUGCCCAGACCAAGGGCCUGAAUUAGUUUCAAGAUGCCCUUUUGUUCAAGCCCUUGAGAAACCUUCCUGGAAAAACCUGCACCAGCAGGAUUUGUUUGCUACUUGUUACUGGCACAAUGAAGGAGAGUCAUGUGUCAGGUGUCAUGGGAAGACACUCUAGUAAAACACAGGGAGGUACC
rnacentral:sRNA from 1 species